UUAUCUGAACCUUCGGGGAACGAUAACGGCGUCGAGCGGCGGACGGGUGAGUAAUGCCUAGGAAAUUGCCUUGAUGUGGGGGAUAACCAUUGGAAACGAUGGCUAAUACCGCAUAAUGCCUACGGGCCAAAGAGGGGGACCUUCGGGCCUCUCGCGUCAAGAUAUGCCUAGGUGGGAUUAGCUAGUUGGUGAGGUAAUGGCUCACCAAGGCGACGAUCCCUAGCUGGUCUGAGAGGAUGAUCAGCCACACUGGAACUGAGACACGGUCCAGACUCCUACGGGAGGCAGCAGUGGGGAAUAUUGCACAAUGGGCGCAAGCCUGAUGCAGCCAUGCCGCGUGUAUGAAGAAGGCCUUCGGGUUGUAAAGUACUUUCAGCAGUGAGGAAGGGGGUGUCGUUAAUAGCGGCAUUUCUUGACGUUAGCUGCAGAAGAAGCACCGGCUAACUCCGUGCCAGCAGCCGCGGUAAUACGGAGGGUGCGAGCGUUAAUCGGAAUUACUGGGCGUAAAGCGCAUGCAGGUGGUUUGUUAAGUCAGAUGUGAAAGCCCGGGGCUCAACCUCGGAACUGCAUUUGAAACUGGCAAACUAGAGUACUGUAGAGGGGGGUAGAAUUUCAGGUGUAGCGGUGAAAUGCGUAGAGAUCUGAAGGAAUACCAGUGGCGAAGGCGGCCCCCUGGACAGAUACUGACACUCAGAUGCGAAA
rnacentral:rRNA from 1 species